UUCGAUUAAAGUUUCCUAACCUUGUGGAAAUAUUCAAGUGUCUAAAAACGCAGUGCGCAGGGGUGUGAAGGUAUUAAUUAAAUAACUGACAUUUUGGGAUGAAAGCUAGAGUAUCAAUACGGAUUCGAUACCCGAUAAGUUCUAGCUGCAAACAAUGAACACCACUAAAUCAAAUAAUAAAUGAAAUUGCAAGUGUUCCGCCCGAAGAGUACGUUCGCAAGAACGAAACUCAAGACAAUAGACGGUUACAGCCUUGAGCAAGUUAGCUGGGUUAUGGCAUUG
rnacentral:ncRNA from 1 species